GACGAGAUAGCCAAGCCCGGUAUGGCGCUGGAUUGCUAAUCCAGUGGUGCCUCGCACCUCGGGGGUUCAAAUCCCCCUCUCGUCG
rnacentral:tRNA from 2 species